AAAGACAAAUUAGUUGGACACCUUUAUUAACCAUUUCUAGUCCCUAGUGAUUUCAGGCUUUUUCCCAAAUUCAAAGACUAUCUUCAUAAAAAAGAAUUUUUAAGUGUAGAUGAAAGUGAUGAAGAUGUGAUAUAUACAAUAUAUACUGUUAACAAAUGGUUUUCAGAAGUUGGACAACCUUUCUUGUGGAGAGCAAUUGAAAUGUUAGAGUAUCAUUGGAAAAAUGUACUACAACUAAAAGGAGGUUACAUUGGAAAAUAAAUUAUUUGUUGCUAUAAAGAAAAAUGGAACAUAAUUCAGAACUCAAAAACAAAUUCAUUGUCUGUCGCAAUGUGGGGCACCAAAACACUUUCUGAAUAAAGUGUGUAUGGAAAAUUAUGCAACCAAACAAAAGAUACAACUAAAAACGCACUGUCUCCAAACAAAAUAUUAACAGUAAGUAUUAUUAUAAAUUUUAUAAAAUUGUUGAUUAUUUUAUUAAAAAAUUAAUAUUUAAUAAUGUAUAUAUGUGCAUUUUUGACAUAUUUAUGAUUUUACAGCUGUUUUGAUCUCUUAUCAAAUUAGCUUUGAUAAUCUAAUCAAUAUUGAGUUAUUUUGUUUUCUCUGUGGAAAGCAGUGUUUGUUUUGCUUCAGAAAAAGUUUUACAAUAUGUUUUUCAUUGCAUUUUUUAAAGUUUAUCUAAUUUUUUCCUCUAAUUUUGAUAGAAGUUUUAUAUGCAGUUGUAACAAAACACUCAAUGCUGCAAAUGCACUUCCUUAAAAUUAUUUCAUCUUUCUUGAUACUGGGCUAGAAGUUCUGAAAAUGUUUCAAGAUAAAAUACCAAUCCUGAAUGUCUUUUACGAAAAUGAUGUGAACAGCAAGGAAUGUCUUUCAAAAGAAGAAAAAUUAAUGCGAAAGAAAGUGAAAAAAUAGCAAACAUUAAGAGAAAAGGCUUUAAACAGAAAAAAUAAAUUUAAUACUGUACUUUGAUUAUAAAUAAAUAGUCUUA